CACCUGUCCUCAGAGACCUUGAUACACACUGACAGAGCAGAAUAGAGACUGUUCUCCUACAUAGGGUCACUUGGCAGAUAUGGAUUGACACCAGUCUCAGAGACCAUGAUACACACUGACAGAGAGCAGAAUAGAGACUGUUCCCCCUACAUAGGGUCACUUGGCAGAUAUUGAUUGACACCUGUCCUCAGAGACCAUGAUACACACUGACACAGAGCAGAAUAGAGACUGAU